rnacentral:SRP_RNA from 1 species
GCCGGGCGUGGUGACGGGCGCCUGUAGUCCCAGCUACNCGGGAGGCUGAGGCAGGAGAAUGGCGUGAACCCAGGAGGCCUAGAUUGCAGUGAGCCGAGAUGGUGCCACUGCAUUCCAGCCUGGGCAACAGAGCAAGACUCUGUCUCAA